rnacentral:lncRNA from 1 species
ACUGCAAACAAACAAAAAAAAAAGCUACGUGAAUCAUAGCUUACCGUGAAUCAGUGUGGGUACAUUUUACACCUCCA